rnacentral:tRNA from 1 species
GGGGAAGUAGCUCAAUGGUAGAGCACCGAUUUGAAUUUCAUCUUCUUACAUUGAUGUGUGAAUGUGAAUGUUUCUCGCUGAAACAAAGAUCGAGGUUCGAUUCCUCGCUUCUCCA